UCUGGCUCAGGAUGAACGCUGGCGGCGUGCCUAAUACAUGCAAGUCGAGCGAGAAUCAGUGAUGUAGAGAUUCGUCGAAGCGGAUCUGAGGAAAGCGGCGGACGGGUGAGUAACGCGUAGGCAACCUGCCCUUAGCAGAGGGAUAGCCAUUGGAAACGAUGAUUAAAACCUCAUAAUGCUGUUGAAACACAUGUUUCGACAGCCAAAGAUUUAUCGGCUAGGGAUGGGCCUGCGUCUGAUUAACUGGUUGGUGAGGUAACGGCUCACCAAGGUGACGAUCAGUAGCCGACCUGAGAGGGUGAUCGGCCACAUUGGAACUGAGACACGGUCCAAACUUCUACGGAAGGCAGCAGUAAGGAAUCUUGCACAAUGGGGGAAACCCUGAUGCCAGCAACGCCGCGUGAACGAUGAAGGCCUUAGGGUUGUAAAGUUCUGAUCUGUGGGAAGAAGAAGUGACGGUACCACAGGAGAAAGCCCCGGCUAAAUACGUGCCAGCCGCUGC
rnacentral:rRNA from 1 species